rnacentral:rRNA from 1 species
AUUGAACGCUGGCGGAAUGCUUUACACAUGCAAGUCGAACGGCAGCACGGGGCAACCUGGUGGCGAGUGGCGAACGGGUGAGUAAUACAUCGGAACGUGCCCAAUCGUGGGGGAUAACGUAGCGAAAGUUACGCUAAUACCGCAUACGAUCUACGGAUGAAAGCGGGGGAUCGCAAGACCUCGCGCGAAUGGAGCGGCCGAUGUCAGAUUAGGUAGUUGGUGGGGUAAAGGCUCACCAAGCCGACGAUCUGUAGCUGGUCUGAGAGGACGACCAGCCACACUGGGACUGAGACACGGCCCAGACUCCUACGGGAGGCAGCAGUGGGGAAUUUUGGACAAUGGGCGCAAGCCUGAUCCAGCCAUUCCGCGUGCAGGAUGAAGGCCUUCGGGUUGUAACUGCUUUGUACGGUAACGAAACGGUU